rnacentral:lncRNA from 1 species
AACGAAAGUAUUAUCUAAAAUUAAAUUAAGAAACGAAAUGUGUAAUUUUGUCAAUAAUUCAUUAGUACUAUUAACUUAAAACAAAAUGGAGAAUAGUAAUUUGAAGUAACUUUUUUGUUUUUUUUAAAACCGAACGGUAUCUAGCAAAGUGCUAGAUAACCAAAAUAUAUUAAUAAAAAGAUGAGAAAAAUGCUACAAGAAAGGAGGGGGACAUGAGAGCCAAAACCUCCCUAACUCGUUACUCUUAAAGUCUAUAUAUCCAUCUUUUUUUUAGGGAAGAAUAAUUUUAUUAUUGAAAAAUGAUAUUUGAACAAUCAUUUUGUUACAACUUUUUCUCUCAUACUCACAUUGUGUUUUUACUUUCUCUCAUUAAGUUGGAUUGCAUACAUGGAUACAAAACGGGAUUAGCCAACUAUAUUAUGACUCUACUUUGUAGUGUUCUUAUGAUGCAAUUAUUAUGUUAUUAGACAACAAUUACUAUUAAGAAGUUGUUGAAUAAAUAGGGAAAUCAAAUGAAAAGUGAGUAGACAUUUUAUUUGGGACUGGAUAUUGGUUUGGGAGAGACCAAACUCUCGAAUUCUUGGAGGGAAAGAUUCAAGACUCUCAAUUUUUUAGGAAACUCAUUGUAUCAUAUAUUCUUAUUGUAUCAUCAAUAAAAGUAAGUUAUUUAUGUUAUAUUUCUAUGUUUGGUACCAGUUUUUAUCAUGAUAAUUCAAAGAAUGCGUCUUAAAUAUUAAAAUUAACUUUAAAUGUUUGCUUUUAAUAUCUUUUGAGUCAAGUAUAAGAAAAAAUAUAAAUUUUUAAGUUUUAGGGCAUUUUGCACAUAAGUGCAAAACUUCAAAGGAAGAUUUGCAAAACGUCAUAUUGAUUAACAGUAGAAUUUGAUAGAGGGGGUAAAUUGAUUAACGUUGUGCAAUUCAGAAGGGUAAUUGAAGUUUUGUUAAUAUUAGAGAGUAAUUGACGAAACUCAUAAUUUCGGGGGAUAAUAGCCUAUUUAUUCCUUUUAUUUGUUUAUCUUUGGUUGUUCCAUUAGUUAUUCAAAUAAAAUACAUCUUUAUUUUAUUUUUGUUACCUUUAUUUUUGGAUAUGACAUGUUACCGGUGUUAUUAUUUUGACGAAACUACCGUCGUGAAUCAACAUGUUAAUUUAUUUUACCAUUUUUUUAUAGUUGAAAAUUUCUUUAUCUAUAAUUUUUGAUCAUUUAUAAAAGUUUGCAUUCACAAUUUCAUAUUUUUACUUUUAAUUUCAUACUCAUUUUUACCCUCUUAAUUUCAUCAGUUUUGUCUUCAUUCUUCAUUGUUUACUCAUUAUAAGUUAAGUUCUAUUUUGUUUUAUUUUUAAUAUUAAUACUAAUUUAAAAUAAUGAAAUUAUUAUUUUAAGUUGUAACAAUAUUAAAUAUGAAUAGAAUGUUAAUUUUUUAUGUAAGUUGUGGGAUUAAUAUAAGUUCUUUAGAGUUCACCACCAAAACUAAAAAUAAACGAAUUGUUUUAAGAUGAUGUGUUAAAAUAGAAUCCACAAAAUAAUCAUUUAUAGAGAUCUUCGUGAAGGUGCUCUUACAAAUCUUAUUAAAAAAAUUUAUUAAAAAUUAAGAGUAUCAUAGGAUGCUUUUUUUGUUAACAAAAAUUUAUAUUACAGUUUCUAACAUAUCAAUGUGGAAAUUGUAUGUAAUAUGCUCAAAUUUUAAAAUAUGAUUUUUGAAUUAAAACAAAUUAAUUUUUAUAAGAGAGUAUUUGUGAAAUUUAAAAGAUAUCUUAAACGUAUGUUCUAAAUGAGUUUCAAUCUAUAUAUCUUCUCUUUGUAAACUAUGAGUUAAAAUUGCGAUGACAUGGGACAUCUAAAAAACUUCACAUAUUCUUUAUGUGUUUAUAUGAAUCAUAAAUUUCAAUUCAAUUCAUCCAAUUUAGGGUGCUCUAUUGUGGAUGGUUGAUCUCAAUAUUUUUAGUUUCUAUUGAUGUGACUAUUUGUCUUACAUUGAAAAAUAUUGUGCGUAAAUGUAAUUUUGCGCACCAAAUUUUGGGUUUUGUUCAUCACCACUUUCAAACAACAAUUGUAUAAUUCAUCUUCAAUUUUGAAUUACAUUUUUCCCCUCACUUUUUUUCUUCAUCUCUUUAUUAUUAAUUGGUUUCUAUGAAAUGAUAGGGAGUUGAGUUACUCUUAAAUUAGUCAAAUAUUUGAGCUCUACUCUUUAUUUUAUUGAUACGAUGUAUGUUAGUCUAUUUUUUCGACUUUCUUCCGAUUUUCUUUUAUUUCAUAUAAAGAUAAUUUUUUUGACUUUAGGAAUUUAUGGGAUUUUCCACCGCACAAGAUCAUGCACUAGCUCGGUCUCCCCGUCCACAUCAUCACCAUUAGACUUUUAAGAUGACAUCAC